rnacentral:rRNA from 1 species
GCGGACGGGUGCGUAACACGUAGCUACUUGCCCCACAGUGGGGGAUAACCCGGGGAAACCCGGGCUAAUACCGCAUACACCCGAGAGGGGAAAGCCGAAAGGCGCUGUGGGAUAGGGCUGCGGCGUAUCAGGUAGUUGGUGGGGUAACGGCCUACCAAGCCUAUGACGCGUAGCUGGUCUGAGAGGAUGAUCAGCCACACUGGAACUGAGACACGGUCCAGACUCCUACGGGAGGCAGCAGUGGGGAAUCUUGGGCAAUGGGGGAAACCCUGACCCAGCAACGCCGCGUGGAGGAAGACGCCCUUCGGGGUGUAAACUCCUUUUGCAGGGGAAGAGAGAGACGGUACCCUGCGAAUAAGCUCCGGCUAACUCCGUGCCAGCAGCCGCGGUAAUACGGGGGGAGCUAGCGUUACUCGGAAUCACUGGGCGUAAAGGGUGCGUAGGCGGCUUANUAAGUUGGGAGUGAAAUCCCACGGCUCAACCGUGGAACUGCUUCCAAAACUGCUAAGCUAGAGUCCGGGAGAGGCCGAGGGAAUUCCUGGUGUANGGGUGAAAUCCGUA